AGAGAGAGAGAGAGAGAGUAAGAAUAUGCUGAAACUCUCUUGGUUUACCUUAGCUUCAUUGUUUUUGUUGGCAGCAUUAUCAGAAGCCAACAACUCCAAGCCUGGUCGCCAAAAAGAAUGUGAGAAUCUCACAGCUUCCUACCAAUUUGACAUUGGGAAAGGAGGAUCAUGUUCCAUGGACGAGUAUUGGUUUGACACAGUAAACUGCAGCAGUUUCUAUAUCCCACUAAAAUCAUUCUUGGGAAGAAGUAAUAUUAUUGAGGUGGGACAACUUUCUCCAUCCCAGGUACGAGUAAAUAACUCAGUUGCUUAUAGCUGCAACACCAUUAAAAUGGGAGCAAUAUUAAUGUUGUUGUACUCUAGUUCUACUUCUCAUCAUGUUGCUGCAGUGGACUUGAGUACUGGCAGCACACAAAACACAAUCGCUGAGACUGUGAACUUGACUGGCACCCGGUACGCAAUCUCCGACUCUGCAAACAAGUUCACAGUAAUACACAAGGGUUGUGACUACUUUGGUUUUAUGGGAGGGUCAACUAAGGUGCUCAGCGGAUGUGACAAGGUAUGCAACAUGAUGAACACUUCGACUCAUCAUAGGUGGUCUUCUGGUAGUAGUGGCUGUUGCAAUUCUUCCACUCCCAAAGCCAUUAAUAAGUCUCUUGUGUCUGAGGCAGAGACAGAGAGUAUGGGAAACAUUAGUUUCUGGUUUAUCAUAUGAGUAGCUGCAGCAAACGAACCAGGUUCAGGCUCAUCUUUCCUAUGUUGAUGGUAGGAGACAUGAACAGCACACGACAAGAUGCGCUCAUCAUGUUUCCAUCAUCCUAUUCCUGAGAAGUCUCUAGUUCUCCUAAACUAUAUCCAACUACUCCCAGAAUCCACACACGUACGAAACUGGAAUACCUCAUGAAAAUUGGCAUAGGUUCUUCGGACACACAUCUAUUGGACACAUUCCAGACUAUGACCCGGAAAUAUAAUUACCGCAGGAAAGCAGACGUGCUCGAGGUUACAUCCCACAACAUAUCAAAGUCUUUCCAUGCUCGGCAAAGCACACUCUAGGUCUCGGCUUUUGUUUCGCAUGUCUUUCAUUUGUGAUAUCUGGAAUUUAUUUCAGUGUGAAGAAGCAUAAGUUUAUUAAGCUAAAAUCCAAAUUCUUCCAGAGAAAUGGAGGGUUAUUGUUAGAGCAGCAAAUUGCUUUACAUGGAGGCACAACAAUUUUAACAGCCGAGGAACUAGAUAUGACUGCUGACUGUUAUAAGAAGA